rnacentral:rRNA from 1 species
UGGAUGUGGUAGCCGUUUCUCAGGCUCCCUCUCGGGAGUCAAACCCUUUUCUCCGUUACCCGUUACAACCCCUGUAGCGCAGAACCCACCAUGAAAGUUGAUAAGCAGACACCUGAAAGAUGGCGUCAGUACAAAGACCGUACGCUCAGCAAAGUUAUUUAGAGUCACAAACGAACAGCCGAAGCCCGAUUGUUUUGUUCUAAUAAAUGCGCUCGUCCCUUGCGUCGAGCUUGGCGUGUAUUAGCUCCAGAAUUGCCACAGUUAUCCCAGUUGGAUACCGUACAGAUCAAGUGAACAGUGGCUGUUGUAUUGAGCCCUUCGCGGUUUUCCUGAUUUCAGGUUCUACUUAGUCUUUCAGAUUAAGCCAUGCAAGUCUAAGUAGAACCUGAAAUCAGGAAAACCGCGAAUGGCUCAUUACAACAGCCACUGUUCACUUGAUCUGUACAGUAUCCUACUUGGAUAACUGUGGCAAUUCUAGAGCUAAUACACGCACCCAAGCUCCGACCGCAAGGGACGAGCGCAUUUAUUAGAACAAAACCAAUCGGGCUUCGGCCUGUUCGUUUGUGACUCUGAAUAACUUUGCUGAGCGUACAGUCUUUGUACUGACGCCACAUCUUUCAAGUGUCUGCCUUAUCAACUUUCGAUGGUAGGUUCUGCGCCUACCAUGGUUGUAACGGGUAACGGAGAAUAAGGGUUUGACUCCGGAGAGGGAGCCUGAGAAACGGCUACCACAUCCAAGGAAG